UGUUGGUGUAAUGUACUCAGGUGAAAUGCUGUAAAUGUGGUAUUAUAACUGUGUCCUGGCUCAUUGUUGUUUAUGUGAACCUUGUAAAAAAGCUGGAAGAAAACAUGCAUGAACGCUGCUUAAAUUAACUGAGCAUCCAGCAUUUGAUAUUGGUUGUUUGAAACAUUGGGUGUUAAAACUUGCUGGUUUAAGUUACAAAACCAGAAUAAAAGGCUGCCAAAUUAUACCACUCUGUAUACCAAAGGGAAGAAGAGUGAACCAGAGUAUUUCAGUGUCUAGUUCUAGGCAAUACCCCCCCCCCCCUAAUUAUGAAUCCCCAUCCCUCUAGAUUUUUCUAACUGUCACUGAUGCUUGUUUCCCCCUCCUCUAUGGAAAUUGUGGACAGUUUUUUACUACUAUCAUACUUUCAAGCAUGAUGUCAGAGUUUUUAAAAAAUAAC
rnacentral:lncRNA from 1 species